rnacentral:rRNA from 1 species
AUACGGAGGGUGCAAGCGUUAAUCGGAAUUACUGGGCGUAAAGCGUACGUAGGCGGUUUAUUAAGUCAGAUGUGAAAGCCCCGGGCUUAACCUGGGAACUGCAUUUGAAACUAGUAGGCUAGAGUAUGGUAGAGGGGGGUAGAAUUCCUAGUGUAGCGGUGAAAUGCGUAGAUAUUAGGAGGAAUACCAGUGGCGAAGGCGGCCCCCUGGACCAAUACUGACGCUGAGGUACGAAAGCGUGGGGAGCGAACAGGAUUAGAUACCCCAGUAGUCC